rnacentral:rRNA from 1 species
GUGCCAGCAGCCGCGGUAAUUCCAGCUCCAAUAGCGUAUACUAAAGUUGUUGCAGUUAAAAAGCUCGUAGUUGAAUUUCUGGUCUUGGAUUUCGGUCUGCCUCAAACGAGGUAUGUACCAGGGGAUCUGAGACCAUCCUCGAGGGAAAACAUAUCUGUCAUUAAGUUAAUGGGUAUGGGAUCCUCGUCAUUUACUGUGAGCAAAAUAGGGUGUUCAAAGCAGGCUUAUGCCGUUGAAUACAUUAGCAUGGAAUAAUAAGAUAAGACCUUGGUCUAUUUUGUUGGUUUGUACUCCAAGGUAAUGAUUAAUAGGGAUAGUUGGGGGUAUUCGUAUUCAAUUGUCAGAGGUGAAAUUCUUGGAUUUAUGGAAGACGAACUACUGCGAAAACAUUUACCAAGGGAUGUUUUCAUUAAUCAAGAACGAAUGUUAGGGGAUCGAAGAUGAUUAGAUACCAUCGUAGUCUUAACCAUAAACUAUGCCGACUAGGGAUUGGUGGACGUUUGUAACGACUUCAUCGCACCUUAUGAGAAAUCAAAGUCUUUGGGUUCC